GACGAACGCUGGCGGCGUGCUUAACACAUGCAAGUCGAACGGAAAGGCCCUGCUUUUGUGUGGUGCUCGAGUGGCGAACGGGUGAGUAACACGUGAGUAACCUGCCCUUGACUUUGGGAUAACUUCAGGAAACUGGGGCUAAUACCGGAUAGGAGCUCCUGCUGCAUGGUGGGGGUUGGAAAGUUUCGGCGGUUGGGGCUGGACUCGCGGCUUAUCAGCUUGUUGGUGGGGUAGUGACUUACCAAGGCUUUGACGGGUAGCCGGCCUGAGAGGGUGAACGGCCACCUUGGGACUGAGAUACGGCCCAGACUCCUACGGGAGGCAGCGGUGGAGAGUAUUACACAAUGGGCGGAAGCCUGAUGCAGCAACGCCGCGUGCGGGAUGACGGCCUACGGGUUGUAAACCGCUUUCGCCUGUGACGAAGCGUGAGUGACGGUAAUGGGUCAAGAAGCACCGGCUAACUACGUG
rnacentral:rRNA from 1 species